AUCUGAAUGGAGUAAAUUUCUUAUCUUUUUGUGUUAUUUCAAUUCUUGCCUUUACAUUUUGCACAUGGAUUGUAUUGAAAUAUAAUCGAACAUGGGAGAUAGGCGACCCCUGCACUUCAAUUUCUUCUCUUCCCUGAAGCAGGUUGAGAAGAGAUUGAAAUUGGAACACCCAUCUGAACAAUCUACUGUAUUACCAUCUCCAUUGCUAGAAAGCAACAAAAUAUUAACAGAAUCACUAAGCUCACCCAUGUACCUUGAUUUGGAUCCCUCCAACAACAACAACCAUUACAGUUCUAGUACACUCCAAGACAGUAGUGAAGCCCCUGAAGUAUUCCUCUCAUGCUCUCCACAGUAUAUACCAACCCAAGAGAACCCAACUCAGCCAAAUGCCCUGAAUGACCCGAAAACUAUCAAUGACACUGAAGCUGAAGCCGUCGACGAUAUUGAACAGUUGAUUCAACUCUUGGGUUUGUCUAGUUGCCAGGAAGGAGAUGAAGAAAAGGCUGGUUUGGACUUGAAGUGUGGAGGUAGUGAAAAUGGGGGUAAUUCUUGUCAUUGUGAAGGCGGGUUUUAUGAGAAGAUUGUUGGGGUGAAGGGGCCAAAGUGUGGGAGAGAAGUGGAGAGGUUGGAGGGUUGGAUUAACUACUUUUUGAAUGGUGAUGGGGAGGGAAAGAUUGAGCCUUUCAGGCUGGCACAUUUGCUUUUGAGUAAAGCUGCUUUUGUUUCUGAGGGUGCUGAUCAUGGUUUUGAAGGCUUGGACUUCCCUUCAACGAUUGGGGAUUUUCUGCGCAACGAUCCUCCAACAGAUUAAUAUGUCACAAGAUCUAUUCAUUGUUAUUGUCUCUCUCAAAAGAUGGUGUUUCAUAAUUUCAUAUAUCAGCUUGAUGUAAGCUUCAAAAGAGCAGACAACACCUCAUUCACGAUAGGUCGCUCCUCGGGAUUUUGGUUGGUGCAAAACAAGGCUAGCUUGAGCAGCUCUUCUGCACUUGCCUCCUGUUCCUUGGAGAUAUUUGAAGUUAGCAAUGGGUCCAGAACUUCAAGAAGCGAAUCUGAUCCGUUUGCAAGGGCUUCCUCCACUAGUUGGUGCAAGCUCAUUGGCAGCCCAUUCUCUUCCAUGAGUCCUGUUGGCCUUUGUCUUGUCAGUAACUCCAUCACUAUUACACCAAAGCUGAACACGUCUACCUUGUUGUGAUUUUCCUCAUGUAUGCAAACUCUGCAGACAUACGUUUUAAGCAUAUGAGUACCAGUGAAAGCAUAUGGCAUUAUAAGUUUCAGAAGAAGGGUGAAACUGAAAAAGGAAAAAGAGAGAAAAGCUGAAUGGAGAUUAGUUUAUAAUUGUGAACAGCCAACAAAUUGUCACCUGCUGCCAAGUAGCCAAUUGUGCCUGGGAAAUCUGAUGCCAUGGAAAGGCUACUCCCAUCCUGGAAGUGAACACCCAACAUUCUAUCUGUUCCAAAAUCACUCACAUGGGCCUCCCAAUCAUCAUCCAACAAGAUGUUAGAAGGCUUCAAGUCGCAAUGAAUGAUGGGAAAAUCAUAGCCUGAAUGCAGGUUCCCAUUCUCCAUGUAUUCCAGAACCAAGGCCUUUAAUUUCGGUGUAUGUGAAGGUAAU